rnacentral:rRNA from 1 species
UGAGGAACAUGACUUUCGGCGGGGGAUAGCCGGCCCAACGGCCGGGUAAUACCGCGCACGACCUUUUGGGGACAUCCCCGAUUGGUGAAAGCAGCAAUGCGCCGAAAGAGUGCCUCGCGGCCUAUCAGCUAGUUGGUGGGGUAAUGGCUCACCAAGGCGACGACGGGUAGCUGGUCUGAGAGGAUGGCCAGCCACAUUGGGACUGAGACACGGCCCAGACUCCUACGGGAGNAGCG